UUUGGAUUUCUCCUCUGUUCUGUGAUAGAUCCUACUUGUUUCUUGUUGGUGGUGGGUUAUAUUACUGAUGCUCUACCGAACAACGUCAUUACUCUACUACAGCAAUUUAUCGUCACUUUAAUCAAUAAAAAUGGCAGGUCACAAUCUCCUUCAAUGGAACUGUAAAAGCAUCAGAAGAGCUAUGAAGUCAUCCCCAACAAAUGCUCUUCAAAUUGAAUGCGUCGAGGCUCCUCUGCAGCUACGGCGACAAUUUCUGUCAGAUAGGUUAUUUUAAACUUGGAAAUAAAUAAGAACUCUCCAGGAGCUAAUGCAGAGUUCAACAGUAUCUCUGAAAGGAACUGGCCAGGUUGGCUACAUCUUUAUACAGAUGCAUCUAAAAUUUCGGAUUCCGAUAAUGUAGGAGCAGCGGUCUGGAUUCCAAAGUAUAAAAUAAUCCUUAAUUAUAAAUGCCCACCUAAAUGUUCAAUAUUUACAGGUGAGUCUAUUGCCUUACUUGAAGCUGUCACCUUUAUUGAAUCUCAUAAACUGGCGAGAUCAAUUGUGUUUUCAGAUUCUCUUAGUUGCCUUCAGGACAUCAUUAAAAAACCAUUUCACUCGAAGGAUAAUUUUUACCUGACUCUCAAAAUUAAGGAAGUUUUAUUUAAAUGCCAACAAUCGGGGAUUGAAGUUAUUUUGGCAUGGAUCCCAAGCCACAGUGGCAUAACAGGAAAUGAAAUCGCUGACCAAUGCGCCAAAGAGGCUAUCCGCACGGGUAGAGAGGUGUAUAACAAAUAAUUUUCUAGAGAUAUUCGUUGUCUUGCUAAACCACAUUUACAUAAAUCAUGGACGGAAAGGUGGAACAAUUCUAGGCUCAUAAAGGGUAAGCAUUAUGGUGGCAUCCAGCCAUUUGUUCCCAUAAAACCAUGGUUUUUUAAAUAUCGCAAUUUCGACAAACCUGU